UUUUUCUACCACUUUUCUUUUGACUCAAUCUCGUUUCGCACCCGGCUUAGUAGUCCAGUUUUAUCGUUCUGGGUCAUUUUUCGCCAUCUGUGUCCCUCCAAAAAUUCAUUCGCAUUUACAUUUCAACCUUUCUUCGGGUGACCGGAUUUUUUUAACAUCCAAACGAAUCUUCCGAGCUUCCCAUUAUACAAAUUAUUUAAACUUCCCAUUACAUCAUAAUAAAAAUAUAUAAGUAGUCUCUGGUGUUUCAAACUAUUGAGACCCCCAUCUUUUCUUAUUUCCCCAAAGAUACAGUUUCUUUUCCCACCAUUUUUCUUUUGACUCAAUCUCUUUUCGCACCCGGCUUAAUCGUCCAGUUUUAACGUUCUGGAUCAUUUGUCGCCUUCUGUGUCCCUUUUUGUGGAACGAUCUAGAAUUAUUUCUAUAACUUUUUAUAUAAGCGUGCUGGAUUUGUACUGUCUGUGGUUGCUGCUUCGAACUAGAACACUUCAGCGUAUUCAAGUGUAUAUGUAUUCCUGUCAACUAUUGAAUCUUACGGCUUUUUCUAAUGUAGAAAUCUCGCGGAAGGUUCUAUUUACAGGUGUCACGUGCCGAAUUGGUCGGUUGCAAAUUAAUGCGCUAGCGAUCGUGUCGCAAUUUAAUGUGUUUAUUUGUCGUUCUUUUCCUUUUCCCAGCUGGCAAUGUCAUAGAAAUGUUUAUGUCAGGAGGAAAGUUAGGAUUAAAAAGAGAGGCUUCGUCGCGAAAUCCUUACCCGAGCUGAAUCGACUCGUCGGUAGAGCUGUCAGCCAACGGCUGUGGUCUUUUGGGCUAAGAAUUACGCACACGGAGCUCGUAUGGCCAUCGUGGCCGAAGUAAAAAUUGUGUUAACGAAUGAAACGCAGUACGAUGCAAUAUCACUAAAAUAUCGUAAAUCAUUGCUGUUAUAUAUUACAUAGGUAUCCAAUAAUUCUACGGCGCAUAAAAUUGAGAAACAUUAUGAAUGUCAGAACCUUGAUUACAAUAUCGGAAAUCAAAUUCCAUAAUUUAUUUGUUCAUUUUCAUAUGUUUAUAUUUCGCAUGAAGAUAAAUUAAUAUUCUGUAACAAAAAUGAGUAAAGAUAUGUUUUUAAAUAUAUACAUGAUUUUUUAUAGAAUGUUUAACAGAAUGUGUUGCUGGUUCAAAGGCAAAUAAUUUCUAUAUGGAAAUCAGUGUUCUAAAUGUAAUACUUGUUUCUAAGAUAUUUUAGAAAUAUUCCUGACUAUUUAAUAUAGUUUCUCUAUAAGCGUCACAAGUUCAUAAUAUUUUCUUACUAGUUUUGGUUUAUUAUUACAUAUUUAUUAUAUAUUUAUGUCUAUGCAUGAGCGUAAUAAUUAAUUAGAAAGAUAACUUUGAUAAAGAUAUUUAUCUUAAGAAAUUUCGAGUUUUGAAUUUAAUAAUUGAAAAGAAACAGUUAUUUCUAUCCGCUGCAAUAUUUUAAAAAGUUACAAUACUAUUUAUUCGAAAUGAUUUAUAUGUUACAUUAAUAAAUUAUAAAUGAGAGAAUAU